AUAUAAUAACUAAAUAGGUAUUUCUCUGCUCUCAGCACUGAUUGUGAAGGCCCUGUCAACAAUAUACAAACUUAUCCUAAGUGAUUCAUAUGUAACCAAAAGGGAAAUAUUUUAUAAUGACCCCCAGUUAUUUGGAUCACAGAAGACUUUGGAUGCCAUUGUUGAUGAUGUAUCAUGCCUGCUCAAAGUUCCUCGGAGGAGCCUACAUGUGUGUGCCACUACUAAAGGAUUAAUCUCUGGCGAUCUGUGUUACAUGGAGGAGGAUGGGACAAGGGUGGAUUGUAGUUCAACUGUAAGUCAGCAACACUGCUAAGCUCUAUUGUGAUGUUAGUGUAUCGUCCACACACGGAGAAGGAAGUGUGCUUGUGUUCCUGUUUGUGUUUCUGGUUUUAUUGUGUUUCUGGCCCUUUGUAAUUUAUUGACUAAAAAAAACCCUUUUACGUUAUCCCUGCACUUGGGUCUGUAUUUUAUCUGUUAAGACACCCGCUUUCUCUGACAAAAAAAAAAAAAACAAAGGCAAAGAAACACUAGGUUCAUUGUACCAGUCAACCAGUAUAAAUGGGGUGACAUUCAUUGAAACACAAGGAACAGGUGUGCCGGGCUAUCACACAUACAACAAAGGCACAUGGCACAAAUAAACAAAGCCUGCCAGAAUGUCCCCCUGAUGUUCGGGCAGGGAAUAGUCCCAGCCAUACCUGAUAUUACCAGUUAGUUGCAGAUUGUUUGUUCACAAAUAGCUCUCUAGCAUCUAACUCACUAGCCUUACAACUUAUUCUCCUAACAACAUGCGUAUUUCUGAAGAAGCAAUUACACAUGCAUCACCUUGUUUGCUUGCUUAAUCUCUGCACUUGUGUUUGUAAAUAUGCCUAUAGAUUAGAUUAGAUUAAAUUGAUUCAACUUUAUUGUCAUUA